ensembl:lncRNA
UUACAGGGCUAUGACUUUCUGUAUCUAAGGUAUGACCUACUCAACCUCUCUUUACAGGGUUCAGCAUCCCAACUCACUGCUGGCCGACACUCUAUAUCUUUCAGCAUCUCAACUCACUGCUGGCCGAGGCUCUAUAUCGUUCAGCAUCCCAACUCACUGCUGGCCGACACUCUAUAUCUUUCAGCAUCCCAACUCACUGCUGGCCGAGGCUCUAUAUCUUUCAGCAUCCCAACUCACUGCUGGCUGACACUCUAUAUCUUUCAGCAUCUCAACUCACUGCUGGCCGAGGCUCUAUAUCGUUCAGCAUCUCAACUCACUGCUGGCCGAGGCUCUAUAUCGUUCAGCAUCCCAACUCACUGCUGGCCGACACUCUAUAUCUUUCAGCAUCCCAACUCACUGCUGGCCGAGGCUCUAUAUCUUUCCACAGAUCCUUGCGACAUGGGGCCGUGCAUUAUCAUGCACAAGGUGAUGGUGGCGGAUGAAUGGCACGACAAUGGGCCUCGGGAUCUCGUCACUGUAUCUCUGUGAAUUUAAAUUGCCAUAGAUAAAAUGCAAUUGUGUUUGUUGUCUGUCGUCCUCACGAGGGUCUUGACCUGACCGCAGUUACGCGUCGUAACAGACUUCAGUGGGCAAACGCUCACCUUCGAAGGCCACCGGUGUGCUCUUUACGGAUGAUUCCCGGUUUAAACUGUACCGGGCAGAUGGCGGACAGCGUGUAUGGCGUCGUAUGGGCGAGCGGUUUGCUGAUGUCAACGUUACGAACAGUGUCCCGUGGAGGCGGUAUGGGUUUAUUUUAUCAAGAUUUUUUUCAUGUUAUUUGUAACUUAUUUUGUGCAUAAUGUUUCUGCCACCGUCUCUUAUGACCGAAAAGAGCUUCUAGAUAUCAGGACAGCGAUUACUCACCUUCUACUGGAAGAAUAUAACUAUUUGUUUUAAUGAGAUACCGUGACGAGAUCCUGAGGCCCAUUGUUAUGCCAUUCAUUCGCCGCCAUCACCUCAUGUUUCAGCAUGAUAAUGCACGGCCCCAUGUCCAAGGAUCUGUACACAAUUCCUGGAAUCUGAAAAUGUCCCAGUUCUUCCAUGGCCUACAUACUCACCAGACAUGUCACCCAUUGAGCAUGUUUGGGAUGUCACGCUGCAUGAGGCAAAUGGUGGUCACACCAGAUACUGACUGGUUUUCUGAUCCACAACCCUACCUUUUUUUUAAGGUAUCUGUGACCAACAGAUGCAUAUCUGUAUUCCCAGUCAUGUGAAAUCCAUAGAUUUAGGACCUAAUGAAUUUAUUUCAAUUGACUGAUUUCCUUAUAUGAACCGUAACUCAGUAAAAUCUUUGACACUUUUGCAUGUUAUAUUUCUGUUCAGUGUAUUUGAUUUUCUGUUUGAUAGUUUGGA